AUUGAACGCUGGCGGCAUGCCUUACACAUGCAAGUCGAACGGCAGCACGGGGGCAACCCUGGUGGCGAGUGGCGAACGGGUGAGUAACAUAUCGGAACAUACCCUAGAGUGGGGGGAUAACGUAGCGAAAGUUACGCUAAUACCGCAUACGAUCUAAGGAUGAAAGUGGGGGAUCUUCGGACCUCAUGCUCAUGGAGUGGCCGAUAUCUGAUUAGCUAGUUGGUGAGGUAAAGGCUCACCAAGGCGACGAUCAGUAGCUGGUUUGAGAGAACGACCAGCCACACUGGAACUGAGACACGGUCCUGACUCCUACGGAGGCAGCAGUGGGGAAUUUUGGACAAUGGGGGCAACCCUGAUCCAGCAAUGCCGCGUGAGUGAAGAAGGCC
rnacentral:rRNA from 1 species